rnacentral:rRNA from 1 species
AGCAGUCGCCACGGUAGUACGUAGGUGGCAAGCGUUGUCCGGAAUUAUUGGGCGUAAAGGGCUCGCAGGCGGUUUCUUAAGUCUGAUGUGAAAGCCCCCGGCUCAACCGGGGAGGGUCAUUGGAAACUGGGAAACUUGAGUGCAGAAGAGGAGAGUGGAAUUCCACGUGUAGCGGUGAAAUGCGUAGAGAUGUGGAGGAACACCAGUGGCGAAGGCGACUCUCUGGUCUGUAACUGACGCUGAGGAGCGAAAGCGUGGGGAGCGAACAGGAUUAGAUACCCGCGUAGUCCCUGUCUCUUAUAC